UCUAUGCUGAUGUUCAUCACUCCUAAGACUGACUUCCAAAUAAAAAUACGAUUACGGAAGCAUGAUAAUGUUUUUAUUUUUGAUUUUAGUGUGUCCCAAUUUAAAUUAGCUUGGUGGACAUCUUUUAAUAUUAUUGUAAUACUUUCUUCUCUUUCAGUGGUUAUUAUGGAGUCAAAUAAGUGAAUCGGGAAAGCCAAAGCUGUAUGAUCAUCGACCUCUUCCUUUGAGUGAAGAUGAUAUAGGGUUAGCAAGAUUCCGAAACGAAAGCCUUGAGGAUCAGUUCUUAAGUCCCGUGUGAAAUGGCUGUAAUUGGUUUACACGAUCACCACAUGAUUUCCAUUACGAAGAUAAUCUGGAUAAGGGAGAUGAAGUUAUUUAUAUUGGUCAAGGUGAAGUUACGAAGAUAAUCUGGAUAAUUUUGUCAACAAAUCCAUAACCAAGUGAUGAAGCGUGAAAAUAGCUUAAAAAUCUUGCAAACUUUUGUAAAAUUAUAAGGUCUUUUCCUUGUAAGUUUUCCCGUGGCGCAAUGAUUUUUCCUCUAGUAGUCGUAAAUUUAAUGUCCGUGUAAAUGUUAAGUGCCUUAUAUGAUGUUGGGUAAUGGCCUUUGUAAAACCACAAAGGGAUGGUGAAAUCAAUGACUGGAAUUGGUUUGGUUUUAUUGCAGCAAUUUAUUUUAAUUCACACUCAAUUAUUUAAUCUUUAAUUUCUUUUGUAUGAGAAUCUCAUCCCUGAGUAGUCAGCAGAUAUUGUAAUUUCUUUGUCCAA